rnacentral:rRNA from 1 species
GACGAACGCGGCGGCGUGCCUAAUACAUGCAAGUCGAACGCUUCUUUCCUCCCGAGUGCUUGCACUCAUUUGGAAAGAGGAGUGGCGGACGGGUGAGUAACACGUGGGUAACCUACCCAUCAGAGGGGGAUAACACUUGGAAACAGGUGCUAAUACCGCAUAACAGUUUAUGCCGCAUGGCAUAAGAGUGAAAGGCGCUUUCGGGUGUCACUGAUGGAUGGACCCGCGGUGCAUUAGCUAGUUGGUGAGGUAACGGCUCACCAAGGCCACGAUGCAUAGCCGACCUGAGAGGGUGAUCGGCCACACUGGGACUGAGACACGGCCCAGACUCCUACGGGAGGCAGCAGUAGGGAAUCUUCGGCAAUGGACGAAAGUCUGACCGAGCAACGCCGCGUGAGUGAAGAAGGUUUUUCGGAUUCGUAAAACUCUG